rnacentral:tRNA from 1 species
GCCGAAGUGGCGGAAUUGGCAGACGCGCACGGUUCAGGGCCGUGUCCUUUAAGGGUGUGGGUUCGACUCCCACCUUCGGCA